rnacentral:rRNA from 1 species
CCUACGGGAGGCAGCAGUGAGGAAUAUUGGUCAAUGGACGCAAGUCUGAACCAGCCAUGCCGCGUGCAGGAAGACGGCCCUAUGAGUUGUAAACUGCUUUUGUACGAGGGUAAACGCAGAUACGCGUAUCUGUCUGCAAGUAUCUGACGAAAAAGGAUCGGCUAACUCCGUGCCAGCAGCCGCGGUAAUACGGAGGAUUCAAGCGUUAUCCGGAUUUAUUGGGUUUAAAGGGUGCGUAGGCGGUAGGAUAAGUUAGAGGUGAAAUCCCGGGGCUCAACUUCGGCAUUGCCUUUGAAACUGGUCGGCUAGAGAGGAGGUGCGGUAGGCGGAAUGUAUGGUGUAGCGGUGAAAUGCUUAGAGAUCAUACAGAACACCGAUUGCGAAGGCAGCUUACCAGGCUACUUCUGACGUUGAGGCACGAAAGCGUGGGGAGCAAACAGGAUUAGAUACCCGAGUAGUC